rnacentral:misc_RNA from 1 species
AAGUCGUAACAAGGUCUCCGUAGGUGAACCUGCGGAGGGAUCAUUAUCGAGUGAGGGCCUCUGGCCCGACCUCCAACCCUUUGUAAUUAAGACCCUGUUGCCUCGAGGGCGACCCGGACGUCUCGGCGUCGGGCCCCUCGGUGGGACCCUACCAACUCUGCAUCUUUACGUCGGAUUAUACAAGUUUAAAUUAUCAAAA